CUGAAAAUGGCCAUUUUCUGCAACAAGGUUUUGCAUCCUGGGAACAGAAAUGGAAAUGAACGGAUGGUCAGGGUGAAACGUUGCUGGACCCGCAGACACGGAGAAAGGCAGAGUGGCAAGGGAGUCCCCGGUGUCAGCAAGAGCCAUGGAAAAUGCCAAGUGUUGCACCAUUGAGCACAACUGGCAUUCACACGUGGCUGGCGGGAGUGUUACGUUGGUUCAAUCACUUUGGAGAAAACUGGCAGGAUCAACUAACUAGCGGAAGGUCUAGCCUAUACCCAGGCUGUUCCGCUGAUAUGUUUAUACCCAACAGAAAUAUGCUCACCAACAGGCUUGGCCUGGAGCUCUCCAGAUGCCCGAGAGUACUCGAAUGGAUACCCACGUGGUGGGUUCUGCCUCCCACAUGUUCACAUCCUGUGAAUAUGUUGCAUUACAUAGCAAAGGGGGAUUAGGCAGGAAAUGGGAUUAACAGGUGAACCAUCUGACAUUAAAGAGAUUAUCCUGGAUUAUCGGGGUGGGUCAAAUGUAUCACAAAUUUCCUUAAAUGAGGAAGAGGGGGACAGAAGGGUCAGAGACAGUGGUAAGAGAAAGACUCCACCAGUCUAUACUGGCUUUGGAGACGGAAGGAGCCGUGAGCCCAGGAAUGCGGGCGGCUGCUGGAAGCCGAGAAGCAAGAAUGAGAAACUAACACGCGGAAUAUUCAUACGGUGGAAUACUACACAGCAAUGAGGACGGAGGAUUUGCAAUUACAUGUAACAAUAUGGCUGAGAACAUGCUGUAUGAUUUAAUUUAUCUCUGAAAGGAAGGAAACCAACAUCUGAGCACCCACUGCCUCUCAGGAAUUUUAUAUGCCGUAUCACAUUUAAUCAUUACGGUCCGUGAUCCCAUCUCCAUAUUCUCUGCCCACUGCCACCCAGGCUUUCAGAUCCCAGAGCUUGCAGAUGCCCUCUGGCCUCAGGGCUUCGUCCGGAAUUCUCCCACCCCCAGACUCCCACCCAGAUGCACUACUCUUCAUCUGAUGGCAGGUUGGGCGUCAUCUCACGGAAGUCUUCUUGGGCUCCCA